CCUACGGGAUGCAGCAGUGAGGAAUAUUGGUCAAUGGCCGUAAGGCUGAACCAGCCAAGUCGCUUGAAUGAAGCAGGAUCUAUGGUUUGUAAACUUCUUUUAUAGGGGAAUACAUUUAUCCACGUGUGGAUAUUUGCAUGUACCCUAUGAAUAAGCAUCGGCUAGCUCCGUGCCAGCAGCCGCGGUAAUACGGAGGAUGCGAGCGUUAUCCGGAUUUAUUGGGUUUAACGGGUGCGUAGGUUGUUUUUUAAGUCAGCUGUGAAAGUUUGUGGCUCAACCAUAAAAUUGCCUUUGAAACUGGAAGACGUGAGUGUGGUUGAGGUAGGCGGAAUGCGUGGUGUAGCGGUGAAAUGCAUAGAUAUCACGAAGAACUCCGAUUGCGAAGGCAGCUUACUAAGCCAUAACUGACACUGAGGCACGAAAGCGUGGGGAUCAAACAGGAUUAGAUACCCUUGUAGUC
rnacentral:rRNA from 1 species